GCUUCAGUGGCCUAGUGGUUAGAGCAUCCGCCUCGAAUGCAGGAGGUCUUGGGUAUGAUCCCCAGUAGAGUCA